ACUUCAGAUACCAUGCAUGAAUAAACUUAGUUGGUCUUUAAGGUGCUACUGGAAGAAUUUUUUUAAAAAAUAAUAAUUUAUUACUUGUACCCUGCCCAUCUGGCUGGUGUCCCACAGCCACGCUGGGCAGCUCCCAACAGAAUAUUGAAAACAUGAUAAAACAUCAAGUGGCGUUGUUCUUUAGUCGUGUCUGACUCUUCGUGACCCCCUGGACCAGAGCACGCCAGGCACUCCUGUCUUCCAGUGUCUCCCGCACUUUGGUCAGACUCAUGUUGGUAGCUUUGAGAACACUGUCCAACCAUCUCAUCCUCUGUUGUCUCCUUCUCCUUGUGCCCUCCAUCUUUCCCAACAUCAGGGUCUUUUCUAGGGAGUCUUUUCUUCUCAUGAGGUGGCCAAAGUAUUGGAGCCUCAGCUUCAGGAUCUGUCCUUCCAGUCAGCACUCAGGGCUGAUUUCCUUCAGAAUGGAUGUUUGAUCUUCUUGCAGUCCAUGGGACUCUCAAGAGUCUCCUCCAGCACCAUAACUCAAAAGCAUCUAUUCUUAGGCAAUCAGCCUUCUUGAUGGCCCAGCUCUCACUUCCAUACAUCACUAUUGGGAAAACCAUAGCUUUAAGUAUAUGGACCUUUGUCAGCAAGGUGAUGUCCCUGCUUUUUAAGAUGCUGUCUAGGUGUCACGGUCCAGUCUACGGGCAAUUGAAGUCCCAGCUGAGGACGUCGAGACUGGGGGUAAGAUGGCAGGGUGGGAGCAGGAACGAGAGUCUAGAAGCCAGGGGUCCAAGGGUCAGGAAGCAGGGAGUCAAGAAGUCGAGGGUCCGAGGGUCAAGAAGCAAGGAAUUUUGAAGUCAAGGGGCCAAGGGUUGGGAAGCAAGAAGCCAAAUGCAGCAAGGCAGGAAACGUGUUGCUGUGGCAAAGAGCGGAAGGGAAAUGCUGACAUUAUAUCCCUUCCUGGCUCUUGCCACCAGGUGCUGUGAGUUACCAAGCGGCCUCACCUAUGUGGCUGCACCUUGCCUCUUCAGAACAAACUUAGGAAGGCCCCAGUCCUGCAAACUGGUCACAGGGCCUGGCUCCUGCACACACUUCUGACACUAGGUUUGUCAUUGCUUUUCUCCCAAGACGCAGGUGUCAUUUAAUUUCGUGACUGCCGUCACCAUCUGCAGUGAUCAUGGAACCCAAGGAAGUAAAAUCUCUCACUGCCUCCAUUUCUUUCCCUUCUAUUUGCCAGGAGGUGAUGGGCCCAGUGGCCAUGGUCUUCAUUUUGUUGUUGUUGAGCUUCAGACCAUAUUUUGCACCCUCCUCUUUCUGCCAUCAAGGUUGUGUCAUCUGCAUAUCUGAGCUUGUUGAUAUUUCUUCCGGCAAUCUUAAUUCCGGCUUUGGAUUCAUCCAGUCCAGCCUUUCGCAUGAUGAAUUCUGCAUAUAAAUUAAAUAAGCAGGGAGACAGUAUACAGCCUUGUCGUACUCCUUUCCCAAUUUUGAACCAAUCAGUUAUUCCAUAUCCAGUUCUAACUGUAGCUUCUUGUCCCACAUAGAGAUUUUUCAGGAGACAGGUGAGGUGAUCAGGCACUCCCAUUUCUUUAAGAACUUGCCAUAGUUUGCUGUGGUCAACACAGUCAAAUCCUUUUGCUUAGUCAAUGAAGCAGAAGUCGAUGUUUUUCUGGAACUCUAGCUUUCUCCGUAAUCCAGUGCAUGUUUGCAAGUUGGUCUCUGGUUCCUCUGCCCCUUCGAAAUCCAGCUUGCACUUCUGGGAGUUCUUGGUCCACAUACUGCUUAAGCCUUCCUUGUAGAAUUUGAAGCAUAACCUUGCUAGCAUGUGAAAUGAGCACAAUUGUGCGGUAGUUGGAGCAUUAUUUGGCACAUCCCUUCUUUGGAAUUGGGAUGUAGACUGACAUUCUCCAAUCCUCUGGCCACUGCUGAGUUUUCCACACUUGCUGGCAUAUUGAGUGUAGCACCUUAACACUAUAAUAUUUUAAAGUUUUAAAUAGUUCAGCUGGAAUAUCAUUACUUCCACUGGCCUUGUUAUUAGCAGUGCUUUCUAAGGCCCAUUUGACUUCACUCUCCAGGAUGUCUGGCUCAAGGUCAGCAACCACACUAUCCAUAUCUUUAUGGAGUAAUUCCUCUGUGUAUUCUUGCCACCUCUUCUUGGUGUCUUCUGCUUCUGUUAGGUCCUAACCAUUUUGGUCCUUUAGCCCCCAUUUCCCUAACUCAGGGGAUGGGACUUCUUCCUCCCAGUUCCCUCCAUGCAAACUUAGGGAAUGGGAUCCGUUCCUGCUCAGUCUCUGCCCCAGAGAUUAAACGGAGCCAAGAACACUCAGAAGCAGUCAUAAAUCAAAGCUUCUCUGUUCAAGCUACUUGGCAGCUGCACAAACGUUCCAGGCAGCCUACUUUCACUUUUAGAAGAAGAAGAAGAAUUUGGAUUUGAUAUCCCGCUUUAUCUCUACCCUGAGGAGUCUCAAAGCGGCUAACAAUCUCCUUUCCCUUCCUCCCCCACAACAAACACUCUGUGAGGUGAGUGGGGGUGAGAGACUUCAGCGAAGUGUGAUCCAGAGGUACUUUAAACAAUUAUAUACACAAGGACCACAGAAAGAAAUUGAUUUAGAUCGAUUUUUGAAAACAAAUGGAUUACAAAAAAUCUCCCAGGAAAAUAAAUUAAUGCUGAACUAUAAAAGAACUGAACAGGAGAUAGAAGGUGCCAUUCAGAAUAUGCAACUAGGUAAAUCUCCAGGACCGGAUGGACUGACCUCUAAAUAUUACAGAUCCUUAAAAUAAUGGUUAGUACAACCUUUGAAGGAAGUCUGUAACGAAAUAAUGGGUGGGAAAAGGGACCAGAGUCGUGGAAAGAAGCGUAUAUUACACUUGUACCGAAAACAGAGACUGAAAAGAUGCAGCUUAAGAACUACUGCCCCAUAUCAUUGCUCAAUGUGGAUUACAAAAUCUUUGCAGACAUUUUGGCUAAAAGACUAAAAAAAGUGUUAAUGGAAGAGAUCCAUAAAGACCAAGCAGGCUUUCUCCCGGGUAGACAUUUGUCUGAUAAUGUGAGAAAUAUAGAAGGGACCAGUUGGUUAAAGGUAUACAGGUCGGAACUAAACAGUACAAAUUGAGAGCAUUUGCAUAUGACUUAGUACUGACGUUACAGGAGCCAGAAUCUAGUACUAAAAGGGUUUUAGAACUGAUUCAAGAAUUUGGUCAAGUGGCAGGAUUUAAAUUGAAUAAGUUAAAAACCAAGGUUUUAGAGAAAAAUUUAACACCGAUUGAAAGAGAGAGGUUUCAGAAUGAGACAGGUUUAACAGUGGUUAAGAAAGUUAAAUAUUUGGGGAUUAACAUGACAGCAGAAAAUGGGAACUUAUUUAAGGAUAACUAUGAAAAAUGCUGGUCUGAAGUGAAAAAAGAUUUAGAAAUUUGGUCAAAUUUGAAGCUUUCACUGCUGGGCUGUAUUGCGGCGAUAAAAAUGAAUGUAUUGCCUAGAAUGUUGUUUUUGUUCCAAACUUUGCAGAUUGUGGACAAAAUGGAUUGUUUCAAGAGGUGGCAGAAAGAUAUUUCUAAAUUUGUCUGGCAGGGCAAGAAGCCCAGAAUAAAAUUUAAAAUACUAACAGAUGCAAAGGAAAGAGGUGGAUUUGCCCUGCCAGACCUCAAACUUUACUAUGAAUCAGCAGCUUUUUGCUGGUUGAAAGAAUGGCUACUUCUUGAAAACACUGACAUUUUGGACUUGGAAGGUUUUAAUAAUGUUUUUGGAAGGCAUGCCUAUUUAUGGUAUGAUAAGGUCAAAGCACAUAAAGCAUUUAAAAACCAUAUUGUCAGGAAAGCGCUAUUCAAUGUUUGGUUAAGAUAUAAGGAUUUGUUAGAAAACAAAACCCCAAGGUGGCUGUCACCAAUGGAAGCGAAAGCCUUGAAAAAGGUCAAUAUGGAGGUCAAAUGGCCGAAAUAUUGGGAAAUUCUGGAACAAGACGGAGAUAGACUGAAAUUGCAGAGUUUUGAAAAACUAAAAAACAAAGUGCGAGACUGGCUUCAUUAUUAUCAGAUAAUGGAGGCAUUUAAAUUGGAGAGGAAAAUUGGCUUCCAGGUGGAAAGAUCCAAAUUAGAAACAGAAUUGUUAGAACCCAAAACUAAGAAUUUGUCAAGAAUGUACAACUUGCUGCUGAAAUGGAAUACUCAGGAUGAAACGGUAAAAUCGGCUAUGAUUAAAUGGGCACAGGACGUUGGACAUAAUAUUAUGUUUGCUGACUGGGAACAGUUAUGGACCACAGGUAUGAAAUUUACGGCAUGUAAUGCCUUAAGAGAGAAUAUUAUGAAAAUGAUAUACAGGUGGUACAUAACUCCAGUCAAGCUUGCAAAAAUCUAUCACUUGCCCAAUAACAAAUGUUGGAAAUGUAAAGAAACUGAAGGUACAUUUUUUCACCUUUGGUGGACGUGCCCAAAGAUUAAGGCUUUCUGGGAAAUGAUAUAUAAUGAAUUAAAAAAGGUAUUUAAGUAUACCUUCCUUAAGAAACCAGAGGCCUUUCUCCUGGGCAUAGUCGGCCAAAUGGUGUUAAAAAAGGAUAGAACUUUCUUUAUGUAUGCAACAACAGCAGCAAGAAUACUCAUUGCAAAGUACAGUGGUGCCUCGCAAGACGAAAAGAAUCCGUUCCGCGAGUCUCUUCGUCUUGCGGGUUUUUUCGUCUUGCGAAGCAAGCCCAUUAGAAGUUUAGGCUUAGCGCUACAGUAUUAGCAGCUUAGCCGGCUUAAAGAUCAGCUGAUAAGCGGCUUAACGAUCAGCUGAUAAGCGGCUUAAAGAUCAGCUGAUAAGCGGCUUAGCAUCAGCUGUUAAGCGGCUUAAAGAUCAGCUGAUAAGCGGCUUAACGAUCAGCUGAUAAGCGGCUUAGCAUCAGCUGUUAAGCGGCUUAAAGAUCAGCUGAUAAGCGGUUUAACGGCUUGGGAAAAAGGGGGGGGGGGAAAGGAAAAAAACCCAGCAGGAACUCGCAAGACAUUUUCGUCUUGCGAAGCAAGCACAUAGGAAAUUCGUUUUGCGAAGCACCUCCAAAACGGAAAACCCUUUCGUCUAGCGGGUUUUCCGUCUUGCGAGGCAUUUGUCUUGCGGGGCACCACUGUAUUGGAAGACACAAGAACUUCCCACCCUGGAGGAAUGGCAGAUGAAAUUUAUGGACUAUAUGGAUUUGGCGGAAAUGACUGGCAGAAUCCGUGACCAGGGAGAAGAGUCGACGGAGGAAGAUUGGAAGAAAUUUAAAGACUAUCUUCAGAAACAUUGCAAAAUUAAGGAAUGUUAGAGUGAUGUUGGACUGAAAAUAAGCGGUUUCCAGCCGUACAGGUUAAGCUAAUGAUAGACUAAGAUUAAAGAUUAGGAUUAAAGAUGUUUAAAGAAAUGGAAAUUUGAUAUUAAGAGGAAAAAAUUUAACGUUAUAUGAUACUAAGAUCAAAGAUCAGGUUUAAAGAAGUUGAAGUUAUAUAUUUUAAUAUUUUAUUAAACUAAAGAUUGGGAUUAAAAAAGUGGAAAAGAAACUGCUGGACAAACAAUUUGGAUUGGAAUACAAAAGAGGGAGGUAUGAGGAAGUCCAGAAAAUAAGUAAUUUAAAAAUGGAAAUGGAAAAGAGAUAUUGUUUUUAAUUGUUAUGUUUUUUGUUAUUUUUUUAUUGUUGAAUUUUGUUGUUUUUUCUUUUGUGUUUUUGUUAUAUGUAUUCUGUAUGUUUUUCUUUUCUUUUUUUUGUUGUUUAAAAUUUUAAUAAAAAUUAUUUAAAAAAAAAAAGAUAAUGUGAGAAAUAUAAUCAACAUUUUAGAAAAAUUACAAGUGAAUAUUAAUACCAAGGCAGUUUUGAUAUUUGUGGAUGCGGAGAAAGCUUUUGACAAUAUUUCCUGGAGUUUUAUGAAGAAGAACCUACAGGGGAUGGGGGUUGGUCAAGGUUUUGGAAAUGGUAUAAGUGCAAUUUAUUCCGAACAAAAGGCCAAAUUAAUUGUAAAUAAUGUGGUGACGGAGGAAUUUAAGAUAGAAAAAGGGACACGACAAGGUUGCCCAAUCUCCCCAUUGCUUUUUAUAUCGGUCCUGGAGGUCCUUUUAAAUAUGAUUAGAAGGGACCAAUUGGUUAAGGGUACACAGGUCGGAGCUAAACAGUACAAAUUGAGAGCAUUUGCAGAUGACUUAGUAUUGACAUUACAGGAGCCAGAAUCUAGUACUAAAAGAGCUUUGGAACUGAUUCAAGAAUUUGGUCAGGUUGCAGGAUUUAAGCUGAAUAAGUUAAAAACAAAGGUUCUAGAGAAAAAUUUAACAGCGAUUGAGAGAGAGAGGUUUCAGAAGGAGACAGGCUUAACAGUGGCUAAGAAAGUGAAAUACCUGGGGAUUAAUAUGACAGCUAAAAAUGGGAAUUUAUUUAAAGAUAACUAUGAAAAAUGCUGGACGGAAAUGAAAAAAGAUUUAGAAAUUUGGUCAAAUUUGAAGCUUUCAUUGCUAGGCCGUAUUGCUGUGAUAAAAAUGAAUGUAUUGCCUAGAAUGUUGUUUUUGUUUCAAACAUUGCAAAUUUUGGAUAAAAUGGAUUGUUUCAAGAAGUGGCAGAGAGACAUUUCUAGAUUUGUCUGGCAGGGCAAGAAGCCUAGAAUAAAAUUUAAAAUACUAAUGGAUGCAAAGGAAAGAGGUGGAUUUGCCCUGCCAGACCUUAAACUUUACUAUGAAUCAGCAGCUUUUUGCUGGCUGAAAAAAUGGCUUCUUCUUGAAAACACAGACAUUUUGGAUUUAGAAGGUUUCAACAAUGUAUUUGGGUGGCAUGCAUAUUUGUGGUAUGAUAAGGUCAAAGCACAUAAAGCAUUUAAAAAUCAUAUUGUUAGGAAAGCAUUGUUUAAUGUUUUGAUAAGAUAUAAGGAUCUACUUGAAAAUAAAACCCCAAGGUGGUUGUCACCGAUGGAAGCGAAGGCUCAGAAAAAGCUCAAUAUGGAGGCCAAAUGGCCGAAAUAUUGGGAAAUUUUGGAACAAGAGGGAGAUAGAUUGAAAUUGCAGAGUUUUGAGAAAUUAAAAAACAAAGUGCGAGACUGGCUUCAUUAUUAUCAGAUAAUGGAGGCGUAUAAUUUGGACAAGAAAAUUGGCUUCCAGGUGGAAAAAUCAAAAUUAGAAACAGAAUUGUUAGAACCCAAAACUAAGAUUUUGUCAAAGAUGUAUAACUUGCUGUUGAAAUGGAAUACACAGGAUGAAACGGUGAAAUCUGCUAUGAUUAAAUGGGCACAAGAUGUUGGACAUAACAUAAUGAUGGCUGACUGGGAACAGUUAUGGACCACAGGUAUGAAGUUUACGGCAUGCAAUGCCUUAAGAGAGAAUAUUAUGAAAAUGAUAUACAGGUGGUACAUGACACCAGUCAAGCUUGCAAAAAUCUAUCAUCUGCCCGAUAAUAAAUGUUGGAAAUGUAAGGAAACUGAAGGUACAUUCUUUCACCUUUGGUGGAUGUGCCCAAGGAUUAAGGCUUUCUGGGAGAUGAUUUAUAAUGAACUGAAAAGGGUAUUUAAAUAUACCUUUUUGAAGAAACCAGAGGCCUUUCUCCUGGGCAUGGUCGGCCAAAUGGUGCCAAAGAAGGACAGAACUUUCUUUAUGUAUGCCACAACAGCAGCAAGAAUACUUAUUGCAAAGUAUUGGAAGACGCAAGAUCUACCCACCCUGGAAGAAUGGCAGAUGAAGGUGAUGGACUACAUGGAACUGGCGGAAAUGACUGGCAGAAUCCGAGACCAGGGAGAAGAGUCGGUGGAAGAAGAUUGGAAGAAAUUUAAAGACUAUUUACAGAAAUAUUGCAAAAUUAAUGAAUGUUAGAAUGAUGUCAGAAUGAAGUUAAGUGGUUUAAGCAGCAAUGUUAUAAAGGUGUAUGAAAAAUGGAUUAUUAACAGGUGAGAACUCAAAGUUAUAUUAUAUUAAGUUAAAGGAUUAAGAUAAAAACAAAAAGGGAAAGAAAUUGCUGAAUUAACUAACUGAAUUGGAAUACAAAAAAGGGAGGUGUGAGGAGGUCAGGGAAGUAAGGAUAUGAAUAUAUGACAUGGAAAGAUUGAUGUGUUUUCUUUUUAAAUGUUUUUUAUCUUUUUUCUGUAUUUUGUAUUUUUCUUUUUUUCCUUUUUUUUGUCUUUUCUUCUAUUCUUUUUAUCUAUGUAAUUUUUUUUCUUUGAAAACUUAAUAAAUAUCAUUUAACAACAACAACAAAAAAGAGACUUCAGAGAAGUGUGACUAGCCCUAGGUCACCCAGCAGCAGCAUGUGGAGGAGCGGGGAAUCGAACCCGGUUCACCAGAUUACCAGUUGACUGCUCUUAACCACUACACCAUACUGGCACUACACAACACAGGCAGCCGCUAUACUCACAGUCUAUCUGCUUUUUCUCUUCUGUCUCUGAAGAGGCUUGCUUCACGGUGCCAGUUCCAGGAAACUCCAACCGGGACAAAAACAGCCCCCAGUCUUUCCUCUACUGGCACUGGGUCUGUGGCCCUGAUCCCUGGGCCCAUAACCAAUGUUAGGCGCAUCCUACAUGAGUAGGACCUUGAUAAAGACACAUGCCCGCUUGGCUAAACAGCAACGGCAAAGGUAGUGCCCCAUAAGUUCCUCCCCAUGUCAAUCAUAAACCAACAGCCGCCUCCACUGGAGGCAACAAAUGCUGCAAUGCACUGAAGCGGAGGAAGAUAGAGGAGGGUGGAAUCUCGUCCCCCCAUCUGUAAACUGAAAUUCAUGGUAAGAAAAAAUUAUGUUUUUACUAGAUGGAGGGGGGCGCCAUUCCUGAUAGGGAUCUACCAGAACAGUAUCCCAGCAUUGGGGAGGGCUUCCUCUGCCUCCAGAUCACUGUGGAACUCCUCUCUGCAGCAUCCGAAGAAGUUUGUACCUACAGGACCGCCUCUCCCGGUAUGCCCCACGGAGAGCCUCAAGGUCCAUAAAUAACAACACCCUAGUGGUCCCAGGCCCUAAGGAAGUUAGAUUAGCUUCAACCAGAGCCAGGGUCUUUUCAACUCUGGCUCCGGCCUGGUGGAACGCUCUGCCUCAUAAGACCAGGGCCCUGCAGAAUCUGAUUUCUUUCCGCAGGGCCUGCAAGACAGAGUUGUUCCGCCUGGCCUUUGGCUUGGAGCCAAUUUGAUUCCCUCCCUCCCUCUCUUUCUUUUUUUCCUUUUCUUUCUCCUCCUGUGAUGAG
rnacentral:lncRNA from 1 species